AGGUCUGCCACUAUAUAAACCAACAUUUUCUUUCAUUCUUGAUUCUGACGAUGCCAUUGUAUGCUCCCAGUGACUUCUGAAACAGAGGAAGUUUCUGACUCACUUCAUUUUUAAAAGGGGAAAAGGCUAUAAUACAUGCAUUUUUGCGAGCAGAAACUGAAACUCAACAACACAGCACAUCAGACCAGAGGAGCAUAUACAAAAGGGACCUCUCCAACCUUGAGAAUUUCCUGAGCGUCUGAACCGCCAGAUUACGAGCAUUUCCUGAGACCUUAAAACAGAGGAGCAGUCAAAGCACCAUCGAAUUCACCUGUUGGGAACUGUGUAGACCUCAAAACAUGCCUCCAAUGAUUAAAAUUUUUAAAAGUGAGCUGACGACUCUUUCCGUCUGUAUUCCAGUGAUCAUUGUAUUAAUUUCUCUGGAGGCUUUGAUUGAUAAAGAUUUUAUAUGCCCAUGCGAUGCGAAGCUGAAUGCGAAUGUAACAAACCUCAUCUUCGCCGGCCCUUUUGUCUUAACUUUUUUUUCAAUGUGUAUCAUUUUACUGUGGAUUAACUAUAAAAUUAAAGAUACAUGUUAUGUAUUUCAACUGAUAAAAAUGUUGUUGCUUUGCCUGAUUCCACCUUUUGUGUGGAUCAUUCUUGUGCUCCUUGAUGGUGAAUAUGUUGCCUGUGGAGACACAGACUGGAACGGAGUGUAUGUUACAGAUGAUCAGCUACAUUUCAGAUGGUGUAAACCCACUGACUCAUUUCUAGGAAGAAAUGACACCGAGCUCCAGGCUCUGACCACCAGCUUUAUCGUCAAGUCACAGAUGCAUGGUUUUGUGAUGCUCCUUUCAUUAAGCAUUUUCUUAAUUCUGCUUCAUGUUUUCUGCUGCUGCUGCAGUGAUGACAAGGCAGAGACACAAAGUAAGAAACAGACUGAGAAAGAAGAAUUCACAGGUACUUUCGUUUGCCAUAGGAGCGAACCAACCACAGUUCCGACCAAAUGAUUGGGGAGGAAUCAUUCAGCUCAAAGAAACCAUUGCUAAAAAUACUUGCGUAUGAAGAUUUAAGUUAGCCUGUCUGAUGAUAUGUACAUUUUAUGAUUAUGCUAAAUGUAAAAAUGAAACAGGUCCACUGUUAUUGAAAAUAAUUAACAUAAAAUGAAUAAAUGAUUUGUUAUAGAUGUAAGGAACAUCAAUAUGUCAUGUGUAAAAAAAUAGACUAAAAUUGACUGAUUUUUGUUGUUGUUGUUUGGAAUUUGUAAUCUGCUUGUAUGAAACAGAAAUAUUCUUUCUUUCUUUUUUAAAAUAGAUAUGAAGUCACUUUUUGAACAUAAAUAUGUGCCUAUAUGAAAUAACCCAGUAUGUAUUUUUGAACAAUUCUGGUGACCAAUGAAUGUGCUGUCAUAAGAUAUCUUGUUCACUUUUAUUAUUUUUUACUUAAUUUCACUCACUGAAUUGCAAAUCAAUUUCUAACCCUUAUAUAGUGUGUUUUUCUGGAUUUAUUGAUUGGUAUUCUGUCUCCGUUAAAAUAAA